GCUUGUAUUUCAAAUGGAAUGUUUGGGGAAGUCAGGUGAUUAGACUGGAGACAGUUCUUGGUCUAAAUCAGAAUUUAGAGGCUGAUAAAGAAGCAAAAUUCAGUACAAUUUUAUUAGGCUCUUGACUGAUAACAGUUCCAAUUGCCCUCUAUUUUCUUGACAUGGAGAACCUGAAUUUGGCAGGCUAACCUAAGCCUUCCUGCAAUAUUGACAAGCAAUAUGGUAGGAAUCAGCCUUGCAGUUGUUUCUACCUUCCCAUAACAUCGAGAGCACAGACCAUACUUGCAGAGAUUUUGAGAGGACCACAAGGUGCCUACCCAUUGAGAACACCUUGGCAGGUGAGGUGAUAAAAGUUACAUGCUAAUUGUCUUCAGUGUGGGGUACAGUCCUAUCUCAUUUCUGAAGAAAAGAAAGUUAAUAGAUAGAAAGAAAAAUUGGACUUGAGCCCUUAAGUUCACCAAUGUCCCCAUUUCCUAACUGGCUGAGCAAUGCAGUCAGGGAAACAUAGAAUUCUAUUAUUGAAACUUGAAACCAUUUCCCAUCUCUACUACUUUAUAUCUUUGACUCAAGUUGAGAGAACAUUAAGAUGUGACAUUUGACUGUGUGAGUCUGAUGCCCCUAAGAUAUGAACUUCUAAGACUUCUACCCAAGAGUCAGUUUUGAUGUUAUUAACUGACCCUGGCCAUCACAGUGCUUUUGUGAAGCUGAACGUGACACUUUCAGUAAUUUCAGCCACUAAAGCUCCUGUGCUUAGGUAAGAUAAGGGGCAUGUUCUAUAAAACAAUUAACUGCCAAAGUCUUAAAGUAGUCAUAUGCCUUUUCUCUUCAGCUAAAGUAAUACUUCAAAGAAUUUCCUAUAAUUUGUAUUGAAUUUUUAAAUUAAUUAAUUUUGUUACUUAGAGUAGAUGUAGAUAAAUCAAAAAAGAAGCUAAGUAGGAAAACUGUUAUUCUUUUGAAAAUGUGAUCACUAAAAACAGUGCUAAACCAAACGAUAAAGCUCCAUUUGCUGAUACUGCUUCUCAACGUUAUAACAAUAUCAAUGGUGCAUAGAAAAUGGGUGGGUACCUUCAAAUAACAGUAUAAUAGUUCACAGCAUCAAAAUCUACUAAUGUAAAGGCAAAAAGUUAGAUAGGCUCUAAUGGCUUCACUUUUUCAGAAAGAUGUAAUUAUCCAUCUCUAUGUAUAGUUGAAGCAAAAUAAAUUAUCCAGACCUACUCCUAUACAUAUUUCAUAGAAAUAUUUGAGACUGUGGCUAUAAUUUCUAAUCAACUCUUGAAUAUUAAGACAGAUAUUGGAAGGAAAAGGUUGCCAAAUAUAAGUAGUCCAUCAGGUUAUGUAUUUUUCAUGAUUAUGAGAUUUUCAGCAUACAUUUACAUUUAAUUAUGUAUGUGCUGUGGAAUGCAUCUCUCUUUCACGUAGAAUAAAUGUUAGUAGAGGUUAUAUAAACUGUAGGUCUCUAUUAUGCAUUUUUGAUGAUGACUGAUUUGCAUUUUGAUAUCAGAUGAUUUUUAUCAGACACAGCUGGCCAGAUUCAGAAGAGUAUCUAGAGGCCAUUGUCUGACUGAAUGAAGAGGUGCAUUGUAUAAAUCCCUAGAGGAUGCAUGAGAGAGAAAGAUACUUCUGUAAGGCUUCUAGCUUGCUUUUCAUUCCAAGGUAUGCCUUCUAAACCUUGCUUUAAUGGCUGUGUGCACUAGAUAAUGAGUCAAUGUAAUUGGAAUUAGGUUAUUUCAAAGGGGUUCUUCAUAAAAGCCAAUUAUUGAUUCAUUUGCUGCACUUGCUUAUCCAUCUACCAUAUGUCAGAGGUGAGAUGAGUUUGAGAAAUGAGAAAGUCCAAGGUGCAAAGGACAUUGACUCUACCCAUAAAAAGGCUGUACGUACGAUAAGGACAAAUACUAAGCUGGGAUUUCUUGCAGUGGAAUUAAUAAGGUGGAGAUUAGAAAUAAAAUUCAACCACCUGAAGGUCUUUUUGAGCCGCAUUGAGAACUGUAGACUGGACAUGAUGGUACAAAACUAUUUCAGAAGGUUUAUCAGAGGACAAAGGGCACUGAGCCAUGAUAGAAAGAAGGGAACAACCUGAGAUGUUGUCCUCGGUGAUCAUAUGUAAACACAAAGUUUGCUUUUAUGGGGAGAGGGGAGAAGAAAGAGGGACCUUUCCUAAAGACUCUGCUCUUAUUGACCUGUGAAAAUGGUGAUCCUUUUCUCCAAGGGUCUAGAGUAGCAGUUCUCAACCUGCCAGUCUUGACACCCACAGAGGUCAAAUAUCAGGAAUCCUGCAUAUCAGAUAUUUACAUUAUAAUUCAUAAUAGUAGUAAAAUAAUAGUAUGAAGUAGCAAUGAAAUACUUUUUUAUGAUUGUUAGUCAUGGCAAAACGAGGAACUGUACUAAAGGAUCACAGUAUUAAGAAAGUUGAGAACCACUGCUCUUGGGUAAGCUUUGCACUGUUUAAAAUCUAGUCCUAACAAUGGGAAUCUAGCUAACAGUGCUAAGAUGUAUACUUAGACAAGCAAAGGGCAGUUAGGGGAAUUGAUAUUUCAGAGUUAUUUCAGAAGACCAUAGAUUUCUAAUUGGAGACAUUAGAUGGUUUAGACAUGAACAGAGACUGAAUGAAAAAUUUGGAACAACAAAUUAAUUUCAAAAAUAUGCUAGCUGAAAAUACUUUUUAUUAUUGGAAACAGAGGCAUGUCUAUAAGGGAAUAUAGUCAACUAAAAUAUUUGUUAGCCUAAUGAAUCCAGUUUUUAUCAGUAAAUCACAUCAGAGUUUAACUUGUAGGAAAAGAUAGCUAAAUAGUGCCCAACAGUCUAACCUGCUCUUUAGUGUUUAAUUUUUGUGUCAUUAAACAGUUCCUGCUAACAGCAAGUAUAAUGUUAAUUUAAGAAAAUACCUUCAUCAUAUUGAAUUAUUUUUCUGAUAUAAAUGGAAUUGUAUAGGUUUAGCAUUUGAAUGUGGCUUUCACUACUGCUGCUGUAGGACCCACUGAUACCCAAAUUCUAAUCCUUACUAUAUCAAAAGGAUAGUAAGCGUUUGCUUAUAAUGGUUUGAAGUAAUUCACUUAAGGAUCCUGGGAAUGGGAAUCACUCUUAACUAAAACACAGACUUGCUUGAAGUGAUUGACAGGCCUAGAGAAGCAUAAUCUAUGGAACUGGGAAGUAUAGGAUGAGUACAGGGGAAGCUACAGCCCUAGCUGGUGGGAAGGUAUUGUCCUCUCAUUAUCACCUCUACUCACAUCAUAUGGUCCUUCCACAGGAAGCAUGAAGUUAAGGAAACAUCGAAAGGCUGGACAGUGACAGAAUUUAGUUGUUGCCUGCCUAGAAAUUUUCUUAUUUUAAACUACAAACAAAUUAUACAAUACAUCAACUUGAGGCUGGUAAUGAUAUAGGAAAAAUUUUGUUUUUAAUGAUUUUAAUUUAACUUAAAGUUCCGUGUCAUAAAGUCUUAUGUGUAAUUCAAAUGUUGGUUUUAGAAUUAGAUGUAGUGCCUUAGUUCUUAAUCUAUAGCAACAAGCUUGUAGAUUUUGGAGAACAAUAGCGAAUCUGGAUGGAAAACAUGUGAAUUCAACAUAUUGUUACUACUGGUUUCAAUCUAAAUAUAGAGAGCCUAAUGUAAGUCAUAUUAAUCUUUUUCCUCCACAAUAUUUCACAAGAAUACUUUACAAAUAUUUUUAUCCUAUUUGAAUUUUUAUAAAGGAAAUUAAAUAGAGUAAGAUUAUUUCUAAAAGAUAAUGAUCAAAUCAUAAAUGUAAAGCUAUAUUAUCCAUACCCUUAUUUGAAUAGUGACUGAGAAAAUUUGAAUCACCAAUAUUCGUUUCUAGCUGGUUACAGUGUUUUCAAGUGAUAAAUGCAAUGAGAAAUCAAAUUACCUAGUUUUCAAGACACUAUAUAUGCUCCUCAUUUAAGUUUAUUAAUACGUUGAAAGCCAGUCAUGUAGAAUUCUGAAAACAUCUCAGAAAUAUCUAAGAAGAGAUGGUCCAUGAAUUGGGAUCUAUUUAUUACAUGUAUAUUACUUAUCUUAUGAACAGAAUACUAUGAGCUAUCCAUGAAAUGGUAGCUAAUUUAUCAAAUAUCAAAAAAGUCUAUGGGGGGCCUACACAUUCUAUGCCAGAAUUCUCAAAAUAAUAUUCUCAUGGUCUUUAGAGAUUUUAGCUGAGAAUAGAGCUUAAGUUCAGACUAUAAUUAUAUGGCUACAUAGAUGAUAAGAAUGCUUCUUUAGUUUGGAUCUCAUAAGCAUUCACAAUCUUCCCACUUCUUCAAAAACUAUAACAUUCUUAAAAUAGUGCCUGCCUGUUGUGAUGUGCUGAAAUUCAAAGAUCGGAAGUACAUGCUAUAGAUAUGGAAAGAAGGGAUCACCUGGGAAGAAUGAGUUCUGUAAAAUGGGGAAAUGCCAAAUAGAUGACUCCAAAACUAAACUCUCCAUUGACAGAUUUGCCGUGGGAUUUAUGAUUAUUUCCCAUUCUCAGGUCAGUUUGAGGAUGCAGGAUACAUUCAGGGGAGUGACAUGAAUCCAGACACCCCAGAUUGGUGCCCCAAAAUAUCUCUGUGUAUAUUCAUCACUUAACUUGGUAGUAUGAUGAUAAAAUAUGACAAAGUCAAAACAUGGUCCUCAGAAAGUAUGGCCAUGUAGCUUCCUUAAACAAUCAGCUUUUUACAAAUACCUAAGCUCAUAGGAUUUUCAUUAUGUGAAACUUGAACAGCUUAAAAUAUACCUAUCACUCCCUGACCCCCCAAGAGGCAAAUGCUCAGUUGCAGGAGCUGUAAUUAUUAUUGAGCUUCAAUUACAAGCUCUAAUUGAUCUGAAUUUGCUAGUGGGACACCUGAUGGGAAUUAUUUACACAAUAAUAUAGUGUGACAGAUGGUUAGGCCAUAGUUAUCAAAGUCACAGAUGAAAUAAGAAUAUUCCCACCCCUUCCAUAUUCUAUUAAUAGAGCAGGAAGAAUUUAAUGUGGAAAUGCUUCCAGAAAACAAUCCAUUUCCACCUCACUUAACUCUACCAAUUAUACUACAUAAAAUAAGUGUAAAGUUUAAUACAAUAAAUUGCACAAAUAUUCUAAUGUAUUAGAGGUUGUAGAAGGUAAUCAUAAGUUUCAGUAUAUACUGCUGUUGUCAUGGCUGUUACAUGUAAAUGAAACAAUUUUAUUACAUUGUUGAAAAUAAAUGUUAGUGCUAUGAUGAAAAGUGAAAGAAAAUAUAUGAACACUUAGCAUUGCAAUGCAUUACUUUGUCCACGGGCAAGAGACUGAUCAAAAUAAUGAACGUAAUUAAUUAGUAGGAAACUCUUGAUCUAGGGCUGUAGAGAUGACUCAGUCAGUGAAGUGCUCACUGUGCAAUCACGAGGACCCGAGUUCAAGCACCAGGACUCAAGAAACUGAAUUUGGUUGCACAGAAAGCAGACAGGUUGGUCCCAGGGGAGGGGGUUCUCUUGCUGGCCCAGCCUCACUUGCUUGGCAAGAUCCAGGCCAGGCAGAUGCUCUGCUACAAAAUACAGAAACAAAAUUAUAAUACAGUAUAUGGCUUCUGAGAAGAGACAUCUGAGGCUAACUGAUGACUGGCCACUACAUGUAUGUGUACCCAUGUCCCACUCUAACUCCAUCCCCUAUAAAAACUUCAGUGAAAGCAAACCUCUUUCCACUCUUUUAGUGAUAAGAUCAUCAAUGGAGUAUACCAGUAGGGAGAAACAUGUUGGAAAUCUUCUUUGUAAUUUUUAAAAACGUUUUAUGUGUUUGAGUGUUUUGCUUACAUGUAUGUCUGCACAUGUAUGUGCCUAGUGCCCUCAUGGACAAGAAAGGGCACUUGAUCCCUGGAAAAUUUAGUUACAGAUGUCUAUGAGCUGCCAUGUGGCUACU
rnacentral:lncRNA from 1 species